ACAUUGUGUCUUCAGUGGAAGAGGAACAUGAGACUUUUCAUUGUGAGCUGUGUUGCCAAUAUUCCUGUUUCUAGAAUACUGGGAGCUGUUUGGUGAGAAGAGUGAAAUGUUAGUGGCUUGGAAAACUCAACCAGCCCACUGUUCCUGAAGCCAGUUAGUUGAUCCUCUGUGGGACUUGACAAGCUGAGCUGUGGCUUGGAAAUGCAGCAGGAUGCCCGGAAAUCCCAUCCCAUCUUAACGGCAUGCUGUUGUGGCAAAGUGAGAUUCCACAAACAUCCCAUUCCAGAGGACUGUCUCUCAGCUCUUGAGCAGUACCUUACCUGGACAAGUCAGUGGGAAGAUAUGGAGGACUUCCCAUGGCGGCU